rnacentral:rRNA from 1 species
GACGAACGCUGGCGGCGUGCUUAACACAUGCAGUUCGAACGGAAAGGCCCUGCUUUUGGGGGGUGCUCGAGUGGCGAACGGGUGAGUAACACGUGAGUAACCUGCCCUUGACUUUGGGAUAACUUCGGGAAACGGGGGCUAAUACCGGAUGGGAGUUCCGCCUGCAUGGGGGGGUUGGGAAGGUUUCGGCGGUUGGGGAUGGACUCGCGGCUUAUCAGCUUGUUGGUGGGGUAGUGGCUUACCAAGGCUUUGACGGGUAGCCGGCCUGAGAGGGUGACCGGCCACAUUGGGACUGAGAUACGGCCCAGACUCCUACGGGAGGCAGCAGUGGGGAAUAUUGCACAAUGGGCGGAAGCCUGAUGCAGCAACGCCGCGUGCGGGAUGACGGCCUUCGGGUUGUAAACCGCUUUCGCCUGUGACAAAGCGUGAGUGACGGUAAUGGGUAAAGAAGCACCGGCUAACUACGUG